UUGAUCUCAAAUCAGGUAGGACUACCCGCUGAACUUAAGCAUAUCAAUAAGCGGAGGAAAAGAAACUAACAAGGAUUCCCCUAGUAACUGCGAGUGAAGCGGGAAGAGCUCAAAUUUAAAAUCUGGUGUGCCUCUGGUCACCCGAGUUGUAGUCUGGAGAAGCGUUUUCCGUGUUGGACCGUGUACAAGUCCCUUGGAACAGGGCGUCAUAGAGGGUGAGAAUCCCGUCUUUGACACGGACUACCAAUGCUUUGUGAUGCGCUCUCAAAGAGUCGAGUUGUUUGGGAAUGCAGCUCAAAAUGGGUGGUAAAUUCCAUCUAAAGCUAAAUAUAGGCGAGAGACCGAUAGCGAACAAGUACCGUGAGGGAAAGAUGAAA
rnacentral:rRNA from 1 species